rnacentral:lncRNA from 1 species
CUGAAGAGCUUCUGUUUCAGGUUCUUCCUCUUCAAUUGCUGGUUUUUCAUCUUUCUUUUCAACAACUAGUUCUUCAGAUGUGUCUUCAACUGUUGGUUCUUCAGGUUUCUCUUCAAGAGCUAGUUCUUCAGGUGUUUCCUCCCCUGCAAGCUCUUCAGGUGUUUCUAUAGUCGCCGGUUCUUCAGGUUUCUCUGUAAUCUCUAGUUCAGGUUUCUCCUCAACUGGUACUUCAGAUUUCUCCUCAAAUGUUGGUUCUUCAGGUUUCUCCUUAAUAGCUGGUACACCAGGUUUCUCUUCAAUGAGUGGUUCUUCAGUUUUUUCUUCAACUGCCGAUUCUUCAGGAUUUUCCUCACUGUCUGGAGAGUGUGCAACAUCAUUAUUGGUAUUGCAUGGGAUUUCACUGCCAGUUUUUUCGUUCGAGUCUACAAUUAGCAUAUUCUGCAAAAAGAAUUUAAUGUUUCACUUAGCCUUUCAAUAAAGAUGCAGAUGUGAAUCAUAGUACAUACAUAACUAACAAAAUGGAUAAACUUUGUGAUAGUGCUUGACCCUUACCUUUUCCAAAAGAGUUACCUUUUCAGGUUUCUCCUCUUCCAUGGCUGGUUCUUCAUGUAUCUCUUCAAAUGCUAGUUCCUUAGGUGUUUCUUCAAUUACUUGUUUUUCAGGUUUCUCCUCAAUUUUUGGUUCUUUGAUUGUCUCCUCAACUGAUGGUACUUCAAGCUUUUCUCCCACGGUUGGUUUUUCAGGUUUCUCUUCAACUGUCGGUUGUUCAGGUAUUUUCUCAACCGCUGGUUCUUCUGGUUUCCCCGAAACCCUUGAUUCUUCAGAUUUUUCUUCAAUUGCUGAUUCUUCAGAUAUCUCUUCAACUAUUGCUUCUUCAGUUUUUUCCUCAACUGAUGCAUAGUCAGCAAUGUCAUUGUUGGUAUUGCAUGGAAUUGCAUUGUCUAUUGUGUUCUUUGAGUUUACAAUUGGAAAAUUCUGCAAGAAAAUUUAAAGUUUCAUCUAGUCUUUCAAUAGAUAAACAUGUAAAUGCGUUG